AGUUCGGAUUGUAGUCUGCAACUCGACUACAUGAAGCUGGAAUCGCUAGUAAUCGCGGAUCAGAAUGCCGCGGUGAAUACGUUCCCGGGUCUUGUACACACCGCCCGUCACACCAUGGGAGUUGGGAAUGCCCGAAGCCGGUGACCUAACCGAGAGGGAGGAGCCGUCGAAGGCAGGUCUGAUGACUGGGGUGAAGUCGUAACAAGGUACC
rnacentral:rRNA from 1 species